rnacentral:lncRNA from 1 species
CGAUGAUGAACUUGUGAAGUACGUAAAUUAUCCCGAAGCAAAAUGUCAUUAUUCUUCCAACUUUGUCCCAUCCAGUGCCCUGCAUCCCUCGCUUGUCAGACGUGGAGAUCGACUGCUUGUCAAACUCGGCGUGGGUGAUGUAUAACGAGUCGGCGGGGGCCGAGAACUACGUCGUCAUGGCAACGGACAGGACGACAGACAACGUACAGAUGUUUGAGUGUAACAUCACGUCAGAUGGGAUGUGUUCGCUGCCGCCGUUGGCCUGCAGCCAGAAUCUCACCUUUACCCUGAGAGCUCAGGACCAGCAGUGCGCCAGUGCACCCAGCAACGCCAUCACAGCUGAGACUGCUCCCUGUUCUCCAGAGAAUGUUACACAGUCUGUUGACUGCAAUAAUGGGACCAUCAGCAUCAGCUGGUUGCCUGUCUUCGGUGCGGUGUCGUACACGGCCACACUGGAGGAGCUAUCAAGAGGAAUAACCAGCUGCUGCAAAACUUCAGACGCCAACUGUGACGUCACAGACCUGCCGUGCGGACAAUUGUACAUCCUACAUGUCACGGCUCAGGGGCAAACGUGCAACAGUUCAGAGAGCGAAGGGAUCCUCACCAGGACAGUGCCAUGUGUACCAGAAAAUCUCAGCUCCAGUUUGAGCUGCAGCACCAACGUGGCCAAAGUGUCGUGGAGCAGCAGCGAAGGAGGACAGAUUUACACGGUGACGGCAGAGGGAGACGAUGGACAUGUGCACAACUGCCAGUCGCCUUCCAGCCAGUGUGACCUGACAGACCUGCACUGUGGACGGUACUACACCACCACGGUGACUGCCGAGAACAUGGUGUGCAGCAGCAAACCAGGCGACAGCAUGAGCAUCAAGACAGGUGUGUAUUUCAAAAGAGUUGUUCUCAACAAAGGCUGUGUUUGAAAUGGCAUACUAAUCUACUAUACACUACACACUCAGUAGUAUA